rnacentral:lncRNA from 1 species
UGUGUCAUGCAAGAAGGAGGCGGCGGCGGCGGCCGGAGCUGGAGGGGGAGGAGGGGAGGAACCUGAUCCUCGGUAGCGAAGGGCUGGAGGCAAACACCGAGCUCCCCCUGAGCCGCCUGGGAGCAGGGAGGGUUCUGCUACCCUGAGGGGCCCUCCCCGCGGGGCAGAGGGGACCAGCCCAACAUGGCUUCCAACACAGAGACCAGAAGGACCCAAUAAGAGACCGAAGACACGACUGAUAAUACAGAAAGGAGGGUGAUGCUGUGUGCAAGGCAGAUACAAGAUGGUUUUUCCAUAAGAGGAAGUGAUCAUGGCAACCAUGACCUUCUCUGACCUUCUCUCUUCCAAGAGGCUGUUGGGAAGGUGGGAUGACCUAGGAUUGACCUUGGACUUGACAUCACAGAAGCCAUUUCAACCUUCACAGGGUUUCCUCAGCAGUGCCCCGGAGCAGGGACCGCGCCAGCCAGCAGAAACAGCUAGUUGUUGUCUGCAGUGAAGAAUAAUUGGAAGCAUGGUGCCUGUUUCUUUUCCUGUGGGAGGAAGUCACAGCAUCUACUUCUGAAUCUGUGCUUGCCUUGAGGAAAAACGGCAUGGCACAGGAAUGUGGACGCUUUCAACCAGAGGAUUCUGUACGACGGUGUCGGCACACAAGGAGUGUUCCACUGACUGACCUCUUUUUGUUUUCAAAUGAAGAGGAGCCAAGAAUAGGACAGCUUGGGAAGCUCAUCCUCGUCUACGGCCAAACGUUGGUUUCUCAUUUCUAGAAGAUGAAAGAUGUGAUGACUCAGGAAAAACUGGAAUCUUAGUAACUGUGGUGGGCAUUGAGCCUUGCCGUCCACAAGAGAAAGCUUGCUGCUCGAGAUGUGAGUCUUCAGAUGUUCCUGCCGCCAUAUCUGACAGCUGCUGCCAAGAUUCCCUGGUGGGAUGGACUCUUAUACCUCAACAACCAGAAGCCCAAGUAAACUCUUCUAUAAAUUGAAUGACUCAUGCUUAAAAAAAAAAACAAAAAACAAACUAUCUUUA